CAAUUACAUUAAAUCUUAUCUGAGACAAACGGUUCGCUGAUAAAUACCACCGUUGUAUAAUUUUUUAACACUUUCGUCAGUCCAGUCGUAGCCUUCGCAUAGAACUUUGUGGGUUGACUGCUGAUCUCGUCGAACUAUUUCUCCUCUGAUUUAUAUUUGUUUGUGAUUUUUUUGGAUUUCAUCCAAUUUUUUUGGUGAAAAGGUAAAAAAUAACACACUUUAAUAAAAACAAAUUUAUUGACUUGCUACGCACAAAACCACGGAACAAAAUAUACAAAUUAUAAAAACAUAAUUGUUACAACAGGUAAGUAAUAUAAGAUACGUAACAAAGGUAAGUAACAAACAAUAAAUUAAAAAGUGUACAAAAGAGACCAUAAUACAUACAAUUGGUAAGUAAAUUAAUUCGAGGAACCAAAAUACUGAUAACUUGUUAGUAAAUUGCGCUAAUAAAUAACUUUACAAGAUA